UCCCGAAAGGACAUCCUGGAAGGUGUCAAGA
rnacentral:piRNA from 1 species